rnacentral:rRNA from 1 species
AUUGAACGCUGGCGGCAUGCCUUACACAUGCAAGUCGAACGGCAGCAUGAUCUAGCUUGCUAGAUUGAUGGCGAGUGGCGAACGGGUGAGUAAUACAUCGGAACGUGCCCUGUAGCGGGGGAUAACUAGUCGAAAGAUUAGCUAAUACCGCAUACGACCUGAGGGUGAAAGUGGGGGACCGCAAGGCCUCAUGCUAUAGGAGCGGCCGAUGUCUGAUUAGCUAGUUGGUGAGGUAAAGGCUCACCAAGGCGACGAUCAGUAGCUGGUCUGAGAGGACGAUCAGCCACACUGGGACUGAGACACGGCCCAGACUCCUACGGGAGGCAGCAGUGGGGAAUUUUGGACAAUGGGCGAAAGCCUGAUCCAGCAAUGCCGCGUGUGUGAAGAAGGCCUUCGGGUUGUAAAGCACUUUUGUCCGGAAAGAAAUGGCUCUGGUUAAUACCUGGGGUCGAUGACGGUACCGGAAGAAUAAGGACCGGCUAACUACGUG